rnacentral:misc_RNA from 1 species
AACGCAUAUGGCACCUUUUGGUCUUUACUGAAAGGUAUGCCUGUUUGAGAAUCAUUUAUCCCUUUGAUCCUCGUGGUCGCAGAUUGCUGAUCCCUGGUCAAGACAUGGACCUUCAUCACUGAUCGUCUUGAAUCUAUGCACGGAUUGUUCGUGACAAAGAGGUGCACUUGUUGCGCUGUUGCUGUUGAUCGAUCAAUCCAUCCCUUUACCAAUGAUCUCAAAUCAGGCAAGACUACCCGCUGAACUUAA